rnacentral:rRNA from 1 species
CCUACGGGAGGCAGCAGUGGGGAAUAUUGCGCAAUGGGCGAAAGCCUGACGCAGCGACGCCGCGUGAGGGAUGAAGGUCUUCGGAUCGUAAACCUCUGUCAGCAGGGAAGAACGGUCACUGUGCUAAUCAGCAGUGAAUUGACGGUACCUGCAAAGGAAGCACCGGCUAACUCCGUGCCAGCAGCCGCGGUAAUACGGGGGGUGCGAGCGUUAAUCGGAAUUACUGGGCGAAAAGCGCUCGUAGGCGGUAUGUCAAGUCAAGGGGGAAAUCCCCGCGCUCAACGUGGGAACUGCCUUUGAAACUGGCAAACUGGAGUGUGUGAGAGGAUAGUGGAAUUCCAGGUGUAGGAGUGAAAUCCGUAGAUAUCUGGAGGAACAUCAGUGGCGAAGGCGACUAUCUGGCACAUAACUGACGCUGAGGAGCGAAAGCGUGGGUAGCAAACAGGAUUAGAUCCCCAGUAGUC